rnacentral:rRNA from 1 species
GACGAACGCUGGCGGCGUGCCUAAUACAUGCAAGUCGAACGGUCUUUUCUAUGGAAGCUUGCUUCCACUGAGAAGAUAGUGGCGAACGGGUGAGUAACACGUGGGUAACCUGCCCAUAAGAGGGGGAUAACAUCCGGAAACGGGUGCUAAUACCGCAUAGUUUUCUUGAUCGCAUGAUUGGGAAAGGAAAGACGGCCUUUGUGCUGUCGCUUAUGGAUGGACCCGCGGCGUAUUAGUUAGUUGGUGAGGUAACGGCUCACCAAGACGAUGAUACGUAGCCGACCUGAGAGGGUGAUCGGCCACAUUGGGACUGAGACACGGCCCAAACUCCUACGGGAGGCAGCAGUAGGGAAUCUUCCGCAAUGGACGAAAGUCUGACGGAGCAACGCCGCGUGAGUGAAGAAGGUUUUCGGAUCGUAAAACUCUGUUGUCAGAGAAGAACAAGUGGUAGAGUAACUAGCUCCAGCCUUGUACGGUAUCUGACCACGAAAGACC